UGCGAGUAGCAAAUUUAUAUUAGCAGGACCAGAAGCAUAAACACACGCUCCUAUCCUUAUCCUUGUCCUCGGCCACAAAUUUAGAACCAGACAUAUGCUGGUAGUUGAAAGAAAUCAUAGGAAAAUUAUGUUAUGCGUCCAUUAAUAAUUAAAAUCAAGCUAGUCUUUGCAUUGCAAGGCCUGGUGUUUCCGAGCUGCUAUCUGUCGUCGACGCCACCACGACCUGAGACCGCGUCACCCUCCUGCGCGAGUCCAUCUCCGCGCAUCAGACUCCGAGUCAUCACAGCGCCAUGCCACCAAGGUCCGCCGCCAUCAAUGAGUGAGAUGACGCACCGCUCCACCAAAGAAUCCGUUCUCUGGUCCCUCGAUCACGUGUGUACCUCCAAGAAUGAUGCCCCAAAUUGGUGAACGACACUAGAGCGCCGCCGUCAUUCGAUCAUCCGAUCUAGGCUUUCCCCCGGAGGUAGCAGAGAGUGGCCUUGAGCUUCUCCACGGCGACGCCUUCAAGAAGGGAACAAUGCAGAUAGCGUCGUCACCGCCGGCCUUGGCAAUAGCCGAAAACAAGUUUUCACCCAGAUCUGUUCGAAGGAAUCCAACCCCUGUGCACGGCCACCGCCACCACCAGGCUAAGCACUCGCCGCCGCAGGCACCUCCACGAUGCCCAGAGGCCGCGGGACUGACCACCACCACGCCUGUGCCGCCAGCCACUGCUGCAAUACCAACCCCAGCAUCCACCGGAUCUGGCCAGGGAUCCCAGAUCCAUCCCCCACCACCCACCACCACGGAGGGGAGGAGGCGGCGCUAGCGAGGGACGCCGGGAGGGGGAGAAGGAGCCGAGGCAGGGCCAGCCCGACGCCCGACACCACCGGGUAGAUGGGAACGCCCCGCGGAGUACCCAAUUGCGUGCGGGAGAGAGCCGCCCCGCCGCCGCCAACGCCACAUGGCCUUUAGCCGGCGACGCCCCAGGCGGUGGCGAGGGAGGGGGUUGGGGCGAAGGGGGCUGCACUGGCGCUAGGGUUCCUCCCGGGGGCGCCCGCGGGAGUGCCUCGGGGAGGGGAGUGGACGUAUAGAAAAUCUGCAGUACACGUUCCAUUUGCGAGUAGCAAAUUUAUAUUAGCAGGACCAGAAGCAUAAACACACGCUCCUAU
rnacentral:rRNA from 1 species